rnacentral:rRNA from 1 species
GAUCCUGGCUCAGGACGAACGCUGGCGGCGUGCCUAACACAUGCAAGUCGAACGGAGAAUUUUAUUUCGGUAGAAUUCUUAGUGGCGAACGGGUGAGUAACGCGUAGGCAACCCGCCCUUUGGACGGGGACAACAUUCCGAAAGGAGUGCUAAUACCGGAUGUGAUCAUCUUGCCGCAUGGCAGGAUGAAGAAAGAUGGCCUCUACAAGUAAGCUAUCGCUAAAGGAUGGGCCUGCGUCUGAUUAG